CUACUGUGGGCAGCAGCCAAAGGCACAGAGCGGGAUUUGCCCGAGGAAAUUACUCAGGAUGCUCCUGCGAUUUCCAAGUGGGAGCGGACCGGCGAGCAAAGAGCCUGAGAAGGAGACAGGCUCAAGAGAGGAGGAAAAAGCAGCCUGAGAAAUGGCCGGAACGGCCGGGCAGCAGCAUCAACCCAGGCGCACUGAAUUCAGAUCUUAGCUCAUCCUGACCGUUUCAGCAAGUGCAGUGACCACCGUCACAGUGAGAGGAGCACUAGUAAUAACAGCUGUCACUCAGCUUACUGUGUGCUGGCAUCUGCUGAGCGCUCCACCUACACCAGGGUUUCGUAGCUUCGGUGUUACCGACAUCUCGCGCUGGCUAAAUUCUUUGCUGCCCUGAGCACUGAAGGACAUUUAGCAGCAUCUCUGGUCUAGAACGUUAGUAAAGGCAAAAACAUCUCUAAGAAAAUGUUUCCAAAGUACAUACUAUACAUUGGGUUUUGCUCCAGAAAAAAAAACACAGGUGUUAUACAUCUCCUUCACCCGUCGGUAGCGGAAGGCCAAUUUCCUCAUCCAGUCUACGCCGCCGUGC